rnacentral:rRNA from 1 species
UUUUAUGGAGAGUUUGAUCCUGGCUCAGGAUGAACGCUGGCGGCGUGCCUAAUACAUGCAAGUCGAGCGAACGGACGAGAAGCUUGCUUUUCUGAUGUUAGCGGCGGACGGGUGAGUAACACGUGGAUAACCUACCUAUAAGACUGGGAUAACUUCGGGAAACCGGAGCUAAUACCGGAUAAUAUUUUGAACCGCAUGGUUCAAAAGUGAAAGACGGUCUUG